CUGGGAACUCCUUCAAGACUGUUGGAAAACCAUUUCAGAUAAAUCGACCUGCGAAAGAUGAACGUUAUUUCUGAAAACACCUUUUGUGUCAGAUGCUGCGUUUGUGGCCCUGGGGGAAAUCAGAUUUCCAGGGCUGCCUCCCUCUUCCAGCUUCCCCUGAGAGAUGUUCUUCAGCAGCCAACUGCCGAUACAUGCUCUACUGUUUCCAGGUGUGAACAAGUGUAAGUGUGUGAAUGUGAAUCAGGACGUGGUUGAGAAACAGAACACACACCCAACGAUCAUCUCCACAUGGAAAAAAGCCUAAAGACAUUUUAAAAAGCGGGGGAAAAAGUGAAGAAUCCCAUGAGAAAUCUCUGAAGAUUUACCAGCUAAACUCCAGGGAUUAACAGCAGCUCCUGUAUCUCCUGGCAUGCUAAACAAAAAACACUAAACUGGCUGUGCACUUGGCAUAUCUGUCUUUAAAACCAGUACAUGAAACAACAAAGGACUCAAUAGUCAGAAAGGUAAACAGAUGGUGAAUUACUUGGACUGAGUCUACUGUAUGGAAUAAAUACCAUCUUGUAAUGAAAUAAAGGAGUUUUUGCUCACACACAAAGAUCUUCAAACAAUAAUUUCAGCUGUGCUUUACUGUUUAAGGUUCAAGAACAGAACAAGAAACAAAAUCAAAGGCAAUUUUCACACAUGAACAGAGAAGAUUGCAG